rnacentral:rRNA from 1 species
UACGAAGGGGGCUAGCGUUGCUCGGAAUCACUGGGCGUAAAGCGCACGUAGGCGGCUUACUAAGUCAGGGGUGAAAUCCUGGAGCUCAACUCCAGAACUGCCUUUGAUACUGAUUGUCUUGAGUACGGGAGAGGUGAGUGGAACUCCGAGUGUAGAGGUGAAAUUCGUAGAUAUUCGGAAGAACACCAGUGGCGAAGGCGACUCACUGGCCCGUUACUGACGCUGAGGCGCGAAAGCGUGGGGAGCAAACAGG